UUGAUAUCAUUUGUAACAGCUCAAGUCUAGCACUAGCAGAUAUUGUCCACUUCGGCCCAUUACAUUUUGCUAUUAGCCUUCAGUUUUAAAACACAUAUAUAAGGGAGAAGUUUCCACACUCUUAUAAGGAAUGUUUCGUUCCCCUCUACAAUCGAGGUGGAAUCUCACAUUCACCAAACUAUUAGAAACGAA